UGGGGAAUCUUGCGCAAUGGGCGAAAGCCUGACGCAGCGACGCCGCGUGAGUGAUGAAGGCCUUCGGGUUGUAAAGCUCUGUGGGGAGAGAAGAAUAAGUGCGGGCUAAUACCCCGCAUGAUGACGGUAUCUCCUUAGCAAGCACCGGCUAACUCUGUGCCAGCAGCCGCGGUAAGACAGAGGGUGCAAACGUUGUUCGGAAUUACUGGGCGUAAAGCGAGUGUAGGCGGUUUGGUAAGUCGGAUGUGAAAGCCCCGGGCUCAACCCGGGAAGUGCAUUCGAUACUGCCAAGCUAGAGUAUCGGAGAGGUUGGUGGAAUUCUCGGUGUAGAGGUGAAAUUCGUAGAUAUCGAGAGGAACACCGGUGGCGAAGGCGGCUCACUGGUCCGGUACUGACACUGAGGUGCGAAAGCGUGGGGAGCAAACAGGAUUAGAUACCCCAGUAGUCCCUGAGCGGGCUGGCAAGGCGCAU
rnacentral:rRNA from 1 species